AAGAUGGUGGCAUGUCGUGUCUCUGACUGCUCUUCCAUCUUGUGCUUCAGCAGGGGGUCAGGAUCUUCAUCAUCAGCUGCAUUCAGUGGCUGAGUCGGACGUUGCUCCUCUCAUUGUGGCGAUGUUGUGGAGAACAACACAUGCCACAAUAAUGUCACAUGCCCUAUCUGGGGCCGCUCUGAGCCUACGAAGGCACUGGAGGCGGGCCUUAAGCAUCCCAAUAGUCAUCUCUGCCCCGGCUGGAGUCCUGCAGUGAGCCAAGCCGGGCUCAGGAUCAGGGGUCAGCAAAUACGGCUGGCAGGGGUACCCUCUGUCACCCAGCAGGGGGACGCCGGAGAUGAUGAGCUGCUGAAGCACCAACUGGCCGAUCCGGAGAUGAAGGAAGCCCAGAUGAUCAGCUGGCU